rnacentral:misc_RNA from 1 species
GUGGCAAACGGCAACGGCGGCUAAAGGCCAGAGCGCGAAAUAUAUACAUAAGUAUAUGUAUAAUUUAAGAGAUACAUAUACAGAAUAUAGCCCAUGGUAUAUAUGUACAUAAGUCUUAUACUAUAUAUGGAGCAAUAUUUAAGUGAAGAAUUCUCAGUUUGACAAAAAGCGAAAUGUGAAAAUUGACGUUGUGCGAUACGUAUUUGUGUGUGUUGUGUGUCUUUGUGUGUGCAUGUGGGUGUGUUGGUCAUGAAAGUUACAUGCCCCACCGUACAGCAGCGAAAAAGAAAUUAAACUGAAACAAAUCUACAGUCGAGUAAUUUGACUCGACAACAGGCACAGCCACAACCACAGCCACAGCCACAGCCACAGCCAUAGCCAUGGUGAUAAGCAAACCCGACUCGUCGACAAAUGGGGCGCCGGCGGAAGCGGCUGCAGGUGCAGCUGCAGGUCUGGAUGCUUCUGCGAAUAGCAUGGGACAUAGGUCGGGCAUACCACAGGACCAAAUAGACAAUAUUUUGAGUGGCAUAUCCAACACGGGGGAUGUCAAAAUGAACAAUCAUCGCAAGAAGCUGCGGCAAAGAUUUGAUAUUAUUAAAAAGUUGGGUCAAGGCACAUAUGGCAAAGUGCAGCUUGGUAUUAAUAAGGAAACGGGCCAGGAGGUGGCCAUCAAAACGAUAAAGAAAUGUAAAAUCGAGGCUGAGGCAGAUCUCGUGCGCAUUCGGCGAGAGGUGCAAAUCAUGAGCUCAGUGCAGCAUCCCAACAUUAUACACAUAUAUGAAGUAUUUGAGAAUCGCGAGAAAAUGGUGCUGGUCAUGGAGUUUGCCGCUGGCGGUGAGCUAUACGACUACCUGUCCGAACGCAAGGUGCUUAGCGAGGAGGAAGCACGUCGCAUCUUUCGUCAGGUGGCUACGGCCGUCUACUAUUGUCACAAACACAAGAUAUGCCAUCGCGAUCUGAAGCUGGAAAAUAUACUGCUCGAUGAACAGGGCAAUGCCAAGAUUGCCGACUUUGGCCUGUCUAAUGUGUUCGACGAUCAGCGCCUGCUCGGAACUUUCUGCGGAUCACCAUUGUAUGCCUCGCCGGAGAUUGUAGAAGGCACACCCUACCAGGGACCCGAGGUGGACUGCUGGUCCUUGGGCGUGCUGCUCUAUACUCUAGUCUAUGGUUCCAUGCCCUUUGAUGGUUCCAAUUUCAAAAGACUUGUCAAACAGAUCAGCCAGGGCGACUACUAUGAGCCACGCAAGCCGUCGCGUGCUUCGACACUCAUUCGGGAAAUGUUAACGGUGUCUCCACAGAAGCGAGCCACCAUCGAGCAAAUUUGCUCGCAUUGGUGGGUGAACGAGAACGACAAUGUCUCCUGCCUUGAUUUGGCUGAGGAUUUGGCUAAUCAAACGCCGGUACGCCUCGAUGUACUCCUGUCACUGACACCUGCUGCCAUUACCGCAGAUCAGCUCGUGGUACCAUCAGCAGAGGGCGCAGCUGCCGCAGCAGCAGCCGCUAAGGCUGCGGCCAAUGAGCGCGUUCAACGCUCGCAUUCGGUGGGCUCUAUACGUGAUAUUGGUGGGCCCAACACAGAGGCAGAGCGCCGCAUUCUUGACAUGGUUGCUGCUGGUGGUGAAGCUGCACUGAUGCCUUCACCCACACGCACCAUAACACCCGCCCAGAGCCCCGUGCAAGCCAAGCGCAAGCUGCAGCCCACGGUUUCCACCGAGAACGCUGCCGGCACCACAGCCAAAAAGAAGGAGAAGCCGGCCAACAGUUCAUUUGUGGUCAGCGAAGCCACAGCACAAUCACUUGCGCCACCAACACCAACUGCACCACUUACACCAACACCAAUAACGGCGCCCCAGGCUAUGGAGACUGAGAGCUUUACCCCUGCUGACGAGCAGUCAACGUCCACGACGGCGCCCAGCUACUCGCCACAGGAUAUGCAGCAAGUUGGCAAUCUAUGCGAGCAACUUAUUAGCGAACCUGUUGCACCACUCGCCAAUGCGUUACCGCGACAGUCAACACGUCCCAAACUAGAUGCGGUGGUAGAAACACCCGAGGAGAAGGACGCCACCAAAGUGAUAAAAAAAUUUGUGAACAAACACAAGACCGCCGAUUUGGUGAAUGCGAUCAAUGAGAGUGCCACAGGAAAAGCCACGACCAGCAGCAAUUCUGCAUCGCAGCCGCCCCCCCUAGCACCCUUCGUCCGUAAGUGUAGCCUGCAGGAUGAGUCCACACUCAACAAGUUCAAUGCGGAUCGUCGCAAGUCACGCAUCCUAGAAACAGCAGAGAAGUUUCAACCGCCGCCUCCAAUAUCGACAGCGCCAGAGAAGCCUAAAAAGCUCAGCAUACCCGGCGUUAGCGUAGGCAGUUUUAAGAAGGAGUUCGAGCGCAAGGCCAUAAACCCGACUCCUGUGGCCGGACCCACACCAGGUGAGCGUCGCGCUCUGGAGCAGGUGGCCGCCGCAGCUGCUGCGGCUCAAGAGGCUGAGGCACAGGAAGCCUUGGUCACUCCACCACCUUCGCCAGUGUCUGGAAACCUAGAGGCCAGCGAUUCCAAGAACUCCGUGACCUCCAUUUCGCUUGAAGAGGCGCGUCGCUCUAUGGAGAACUCGAUUGCGCUGCUGCAACAGGCUCAGAACGAGUCCAACAAGGAACUGGACCAGCUCUGCGCCCAAACAGAGACAAUUGGCGUUAGCGAAAUAACAGCGGAGGAGCGCGAGCGUAAGUUGAAGAAUGCACGCGCCAUAAUCGGAAACGCCAUACAGCCGGCUUCACCGGGCGGCGAUGCCUCAUUAGGCAGCGCAGUGAAAACGUCUACCGCAUCCAUUACGCUCAAAUCAGCGACGUUGCCACGUCGCAAAAUUAAUGCCAAAUCAGAGGUGCAGCUGGAAAUCAAGCCGCGUAUUCCUGAGCAGCCGCAGCCGGCGAUGCGCUUCAGCACCGAAAUGCAGCAUCCAGUGGCUGAUUUGCGCAGUGCGCCACCUCGCGAGGGUCCCAUACCAUACAGUCCCAUCAAGACCUCACUGCAGGCGCGAGCCACAAGCUUAGAGCCCAAAGAGCACAUCAUAACCAUACAGCGGCCACCAACACAGCAAGCUUAUGGACGCACCAACUCCAACACCACAAAUCGUUCUGGUUCGCUGUCACGUCAAUCCACUGCUGAAUCCGAGACGGAAACAGCAACGACCAUGUCGCAAUCAACUGUUACUGGCGGUUCGGGCAUCUCGCAGCCUAUUAAGAAGAGUCCACGCGAAGUAAUUAUACCGAUUUCCGUGGAGGGUAGAGGCUUAAUCACGCCACGUGAGCGCAGCAUUGAGCCUUCCGAGUCAGUUCACACAACCGCCUCCAGUCGCUCAACAUUCAGCCGACUGCGUCCAUCGCAUCGGAUUGGCUCACUCCUCAGUGAGAGCGGGUUCGAUGAGAGUUCGCCAUUCCAGAAGAUGCGCACAACUUCUAUUACUCGUGAUGGCGGCGAUGAUGAGUCGCUUUUUACCCCGCACAGACUUAGGAGCUCGAGGCCAGUCAAGAAAAUUAGCCAGGACAACGAUUCUCAAAGCUCUGGCGAGGAGGAUGACGACGAUGGUUUCGAGAUACUAACCGCGGAGAACUUAUUCUCGACUUUGCUGCAACGUGUGCGUGCUGUUACGAAUCGCAUGAACGUCAACAGUGACCUUACAGCCGGAUUUCCCAGUCAUUCUAGUCGCCUGCUAACGGAUAUCUCGCGGCAGGCACAAGGCCAUAGGUCCUUCUGGGGUCAGGGCAGUCCCUUCGGCAGCGAGCAUAGGUCACAAGUCAGUUAUAGCUAUACCCAAACGGUAGAAAAAAAGCAAGUCCGCCUCAACAGCGCCGGCAACAGCAGCGGUCUCGGUGCACCCUGGCGUCACAGCAUGUCCCGGGACUUGGGUAGCGAAAUGGAGUCGAUGUUCUCACGCACGGGCGCCACGCUGCCAAGAGGUGAAUAUCACAGAAUAAAGAGUAAAUAUUUAGAUCAGUAGGCAGACAACAGGCAACAGAUACCAAGCGAACCGAAGCGAAGCAACUGCAAUUCUCGAUGCGAACACAACGUAAAUCAUAAAAAUAUCAGAUCCAAAAUUGGUUUAUCCUUAACUUCUACCACGCCCACAAAGCAUGUUAUAACCAUUAACAACAGUCCGUU